UGGCGAACGGGUGAGUAACACGUGAGUAACCUGCCCUUGACUCUGGGAUAACCUCCGGAAACGGAAGCUAAUACCGGAUAUGACGUACGGAGGCAUCUCCUGUACGUGGAAAGAACUUCGGUCAAGGAUGGACUCGCGGCCUAUCAGGUAGUUGGUGAGGUAACGGCUCACCAAGCCUACGACGGGUAGCCGGCCUGAGAGGGUGACCGGCCACACUGGGACUGAGACACGGCCCAGACUCCUACGGGAGGCAGCAGUGGGGAAUAUUGCACAAUGGGCGCAAGCCUGAUGCAGCAACGCCGCGUGAGGGAUGACGGCCUUCGGGUUGUAAACCUCUUUUAGUAGGGAAGAAGCGAAAGUGACGGUACCUGCAGAAAAAGCACCGGCUAACUACGUGCCAGCAGCCGCGGUAAUACGUAGGGUGCGAGCGUUGUCCGGAAUUAUUGGGCGUAAAGAGCUCGUAGGCGGUCUGUCGCGUCUGCUGUGAAAACCCGAGGCUCAACCUCGGGCCUGCAGUGGGUACGGGCAGACUAGAGUGCGGUAGGGGAGAAUGGAAUUCCUGGUGUAGCGGUGGAAUGCGCAGAUAUCAGGAGGAACACCGAUGGCGAAGGCAGUUCUCUGGGCCGUAACUGACGCUGAGGAGCGAAAGCGUGGGGAGCGAACAGGAUUUAGAUACCCUGGUAGUCCACGCCGUAAACGUUGGGCGCUAGAUGUGGGGCACCAUUCCACGGUUUCCGUGUCGCAGCUAACGCAUUAAGCGCCCCGCCUGGGGAGUACGGCCGCAAGGCUAAAACUCAAAGGAAUUGACGGGGGGCCCGCACAAGCGGCGGAGCAUGCGGAUUAAUUCGAUGCAACGCGAAGAACCUUACCAAGGCUUGACAUACACGAGAACGCCCUAGAAAUAGGGAACUCUUUGGACACUCGUGAACAGCUGGUGCAUGGUUGUCGUCAGCUCGUGUCGUGAGAUGUUGGGUUAAGUCCCGCAACGAGCGCAACCCUCGUUCUAUGUUGCCAGCGCGUAAUGGCGGGAACUCAUAGGAGACUGCCGGGGUCAACUCGGAGGAAGGUGGGGAUGACGUCAAAUCAUCAUGCCCCUUAUGUCUUGGGCUUCACGCAUGCUACAAUGGCCGGUACAAAGGGCUGCAAUACCGUAAGGUGGAGCGAAUCCCAAAAAGCCGGUCUCAGUUCGGAUUGAGGUCUGCAACUCGACCUCAUGAAGUCGGAGUCGCUAGUAAUCGCAGAUCAGCAACGCUGCGGUGAAUACGUUCCCGGGCCUUGU
rnacentral:rRNA from 1 species